UAGGAAGGAAACUGGACCGACCCUUCGGGGAGCUUGUACAGGUGCUGCAUGGCUGUCGUCAGCUCGUGUCGUGAGAUGUUCGGUUAAGUCCGCUAACGAGCGCAACCCUCGCUGUGUGUUACAAGUGUCACACGGAACUGCCGGUCAUAAACCGGAGGAAGGUGGGGAUGACGUCAAGUCAGCAUGGCCUUUAUAUCCUGGGCUACACACACGCUACAAUGGGAAGGGACAAUAGGUUGCGAAGCCGCGAGGCGGAGCCAAUCCAGCAAAACUUCCCUCAGUUCAGAUUGCAGGCUGCAACUCGCCUGCAUGAAGUUGGAGUUGCUAGUAAACGCAGGUCAGCCAUACUGCGUUGAAUACGUUCCCGGGGCUU
rnacentral:rRNA from 1 species